GUAUUCUUCCACUCUGAACGAAAAGAAACUACUAUGGAUAUUAACCAGAAGUAUUUGCUCCCUUAUCUAUUCUAUAUGAAUUUUCAGGUGCCAGUGAUUGUGGCAGGCCAGCUCUAGACCCGUAACUCCUCAGAUGUACAGAUAUGAGGGACGUUCAUACAAGAACUGUAACUUGUGCCAUUUCUGGCUGAACAGUACCAGUAGGAGUCCUCUGAAGCCUGGAAAGCAGCUAAUCUUAGUAUCUUCACAGUCUGCUUCUGUCUUCCUCUGUUCUUACAGAUACCCUGUGAGUGGCUGUUAAGGGCUUGCUGGAUGUUCGAUAUAAUGAAGAAUUUCUUAUGGCUCAGUCCACAAUCCCAUGUCCCACCUUGUCCAUGUCUCUCGGGGUUCUGAAGGUCAGGGUGACCCUGAGGUCAUAAAGAGUCUUUGCUUCCCUAGCCCCACACAGCCAAAGAAGGAGCCUAGAAUGCAUUGAUGUUAAGUGUUAAAGUGUUCUGCUGGUAGUACAGAAAUGCAUAACCACAAAACCAGUUUCAUUCCUAAGAGACAUUUAGGACUGCCUUGCUUAGGAACAUUGCUCUUAGGGCAAAUAUCUACAACAGCUAUGAGGCUUCAACCACUUAAUUCUUUCAGGAUUCAGCAAUUUUGCAGUUACGUCUCUUCUGCAGUUUUUGAGAUAAAUCGAGGAAAAAAAUUGUAGUUCCUACUUACAGUAUAGCAUUCUUCACUUCAUCCUGAAAUAGAUCCCAAGCAGGGCCUAUCUGAAAAUAACUUUUGGAAUUACCCAGACUGUGUAGCCUCCUUUGUGUAUGAAACACUUAUGAAAUUGUACCUCUACAUACAAGAGGUAUGAUAAUAUUUAUGUCUGCUUUGCUAAUUUUACCUGGAUGGACAUAGGAGUCAUACCCUCUGUUCUCUAGUAUUAGUUAAUGUGUUGACUAUCCUGAAACUUCUCUUUCUGAAACACAGCAGGGACAUCCCUUAAAAUCAUCUGCAUAUUCCAAGUGCAUAUUCUUCAUGGACAACUUCUUAUGAAUAUUUCUGUGUUGAAGGCUAGCUGUUAUGUUGAAAGUUUUCAUCAUUCUAAUGGCUUUACCAUCCUGAAUCAUUGUGGAAAACAUCACAGUGAUACUUCAUAUACAGUAAGGAAUACAUACACUUUUAUUUGCAGAUUCUGGAUAUCUGGGGAAAUACCAUGUUUAGUACAAUGUUGCUGUGUAUUUGCUGUUGUAGAAAGUGACAGGGAGUUUCUGAAGAGGAAUUAUGCACAGGAAAGGAUAUCCUUGCCUCAAAAAAAGUGAAAGCAUAAUACCACAAGUCUUCUCUGAAUGUUAGGCACCUGUCUAGUGUUUUUCCACUAUGUUUGCAUUGCAUUGAUCAUAAGAGUCAUCAAGAAUCUUUGCCAGGAUUAUGUUAAUUCUAAUUGAACCCCAAAUUGGAAGUAUUUCCAUUGUUUCUUCAUAGAUACGCUGUCUCAAUAGCAGUUGUAUCACAAAAUUACAGACUAUGCACUGGAAAUGACACUUGGAGAUCAUCUAAUCCCAUUCCCUGCUCAAAGCAGGGCUAACUGGAGUCAGAUCAAGAUGCUAAGGAUUAUUUGGUGUGAAGGUAUCUCAGGAUUAUGUGCUGUCUUGUAGCUAGUUCCUUAAGCUUAGGUAAGUCAGUACAUAAGAUCAUCAUCUCUGGGAGCACUGCAGAAUCAGUACCUCUACUUGUCUGAAGUGUAGGUGGAACUAUAAUUAUGUGUGUUGGUGCAAAACUGUUAGAAUAUACCAGGGACUAUGGUAUUGACUGGACUUAACAUGCCUGCCCUGGAGAAAAAAAUCCUUACAGUGGUUCAAGGAUUCACCUUUGUCCCUUUUCUGUGCAUUACUUAGAUGACAUAAUAAACAAGUGCUAGAGUAAGUCUCUAUUCUCUCUUGAGGCACCAACACUGGGAUCUGCAUGCCAGUGACUGGAUUCCUUCUGUCUUACCAGGAGGCUCUCUUCAGCCUGCAGUAUUUUUAAGGAAGUGGAAGGUCCUGGUGAAGUCUGUCUUUACCUGAGCAGGGCCUGUUCAAUGAACAUUCUCAUUGAAAGCAAAGAAAAUCUAGAGAGCUCUAUUUGCUUUUCCCACCGCAGAUGAAGGAAUGGGCUCCUAAUGAAAGUAUGGAUGGAACAGGCUUUCAAAGAGGUGUUUGAAGAGGGGAGGUGAGGAGCUAUUUCUGGGUGAACUGGUCAGCCAUACUCUCUUUUGAAGCCUCACUGACAGAAGGGCUUUGGCAGUGGGAAGGCAACCAUGCAGUGGGGCAUGAAUGGUGGUCACAUCUCUUCCACCCAGCAAAGCAAGAGCCACAGUCAUGUUUGUGCAAACUCACCAGCAAAGGAAUGGGGGCUGCUCAGCCCAGCCCAGUCCACAACAAGAAGAGAAUCAUCCCUCCAGUACAAAUCAAACAGUCCACACCAUAUUGCUCUUCAGCCUAGUCAGUAUUUCUAGUUCUCUAGAGGAGGGCUACUAGCAUUUGGAAAGUCUCUACAACACACAAGGUCUUUCCAAACACUCCUUUCUCAUUUCUGUUGGGCUGGAAAUCAUUUCAGAUGUGCCAGCUGGUACUCAGCCCCUGGGCUGAUUCCAGCACUUGUGCCUGGUUUUAUGUCAAAGUGGGCUGGCUGAGCCUGUGGGACAUUACAGUGUGGCCUGAUGCAGGUGGUGCUUGGACAGGUGCUGCCUGACUUCUGCAAGGAGGCGGAAAGCAACAGUGUCAGAACUGAGUGGUGGCAAAGCAGUGAUUUCCAGUUCCUUCUGAUGUUUGUUUUUUGCAAGCUGCUAAGGAUUCAGACCAACUUGAUGGAAAUAUACCUUUGACAGAUGACAGCAGGAUUUCAUGAGUGAUUUCUAUCUCAAGGCGACUGCCCCUUCUCUACAGCCAGCAAGUAGCAAUAGCAUUUUAAAAGAACGAUGUCAGAGAGCAGCUUGGUUUUCUCAGUUGUCAUCAUUAUUUGUUUCUCUCCUGGCCAAACCACCAGAAGCAGGUUAAGGAUGACACAAGCCAGCAACAAAUCAUGGGGUGGAGGACAGAGCAUGUGACAAUGCCCUGGCUAUGGUGCAAACAUUUGAGCUACGUUUCGAAAGCCUGGAUUUGUGUUCAGCAGAGUUCAUGAGUGAAAAAUAAAAGUCUCUGACGAUAACAAUC